rnacentral:rRNA from 1 species
UACGGAAGGGGCGAGCGUUGUUCGGAAUCAUUGGGCGUAAAGGGCGCGUAGGUGGUUCUGUAUGUCUGCCGUGAAAGGGUACAGCUUAACUGUAGCUUGUCGGUAGAAACUGGCGAGGACUUUGAGGCUGGGAGGGGGCUGGAUGGAAUUCCCUGUGUAGCGGUGGAAAUGCGUAGAGAUGGGGAGAACACUCGUGGCGAAGGCGGCCAGCUAGACCAGUUCUGACACUGAGGCGCGACAGCGUGGGGAGCAAACAGG